CAGAGUAGAAGUUUGUGCGUGAAGUGUCCUUUGAACGGGGAGUUGUCAAAGGAACGAAGGUCUUUUGACCGCGGUACUGACUUCGCAUCCCGCUGU
rnacentral:ncRNA from 1 species